UACAUGGGUGCAGGUGAGGAAGUUGACC
rnacentral:sRNA from 1 species